AAGGUACUCCCUUCGUCCGAAAAUACUUGUCAUCAAAAUGGAUGAAAAUGAAUGUAUCUAGAACUAAAAUACAUCUAGAUACAUCCAUUUCAAUGACAAGUAUUUUCGGACGGAGGAAGUACUAA
rnacentral:pre_miRNA from 1 species